AAAUGAGCCACCAAUACUGUGAUUAAAAAUUAUCCUUGAUGUAUUUAUGGGCAUGACUUGUGAUCAAGCCCCUUAACCUUGAGAAAGGGUUGUUAUGUGAAGGGUAUCAGUUACUGGAGUUCAGACAUUGUUUGGGUCUUAUGUGUAGCACAAUCUUCUUCAAGUGCCUUGGCACUACAUUAGAGCCCAGUUUAGCUGUGGAGAAGCUCUCAAAUGUCACUAGGAUACUGUUCCCAGAAGCCUUGGAAGCUUUUUGUGUGAUAAAGGAGCAAAUUUGAGCAAAGCAGUUGUCAUUCUGUGAACUUUACAUAUGGUGACACUCAUGCUAAAGGCCAGCCGCAAUCUGGCACAAUAACGCUGCAUUGCUGUGUAGACAAACCUAUGAAAAAUACUGAGAUGUGUUUGAAGAAAUUAGUCAUUUAUCUUUCUCUUUUAGACAUCCUAAUAAGGUGAAUAAUGGAAAUGUCUAAUACAUUAGACAUGUAGCAGGUAAACACUUUAAAUCAUCUGGUUUCAUUUGGUUCUUAUUUGGACUAAAAGCUAGCUUUGUUUUUGGCCAUGCAUUUUAUUUAUCUUCUCCUAUCUCUCUGCUUCUUGUCAAGGUUGGCAGCCAAUGAAUUUGCCCUCUCCACAUCAAUCAUGAGGUCCUCUACUUCACCCUGCAGUCUCUGUUUGGUCUUUUCCAGAGAGGCACACUUGGAGUUCACCGCUUCAAUGGAUUCUUCAGCAUCCUGCAGACGCUGGGCAAGCUUUUUCCUGAAGAGAGUGAUAUUAAAUGAUGAAAUAUUACUAAUAUUUGUGAAAUUAAAUGUAGUGUGCUGGAGACAUUGUUAUUUACUUGGAUUCCUCAAGCUCCUCAGUUCGCUGGAUUGCAUCAGUCUCAUAUUUGGUUCUCCAUUGAGCCACCUCACUGUUGGCCUUAGACAUUCCCCGCUGGAGUUCAGCUUUGGCCUCCUGCUCCUCCUCAUACUGCUCUCUGAGCAAGUCACAGUCAUGACGGGCAGACUGAACCGCAUGGGCCAGAGCAUUCUUGGCCUGUAA
rnacentral:lncRNA from 1 species